UGAGCAAGUUCCUGAGGAGAUUGAAAGGGUUAUGGUUGGAGUAGAAGCCUAUUUAAGUAUUCGAAGGCGUGUGUCUGAUGCUGGGGUUUCUGUCUUUGAGGAUAUUGAAGAAUCCAAUAAUGUUGUCAAUGAGAAGGAUUUCUUGGAGGACUUGUGGUCUCGAGUUCAAGAUCUUUCUAAUAGAGGGUGGAAACUCGAUAGUGUUCCCAGACUGCACCUAUCUUUUGAGGCACAGCUGGUUGCUGGUAAGUCUCAUGAUUUAUCUCCAGUAAGCUGCCCUGAGCAACCAGGUCCUCCCGGAGCAUUAUCUGGAAUUGCCUUCGGUAGACAAAAGCACGAAGCUGAGUUAAAAUAUCCUCAAAGGAUAAGGAGGCUAAAUAUAUUUCCUUCAAAUAAAACUGAGGAUCUCCAACCCAUUGAUCGCUUUGUUGUGGAAGAGUAUUUGUUGGAUG
rnacentral:misc_RNA from 1 species